GAAUUAAAAGGAUACCGUGUUAUGACGCUUCCUGUUAGCUCGAAUUUUUUCGCAUUUCUAUAACAGAUGCAUGUGAACGCAGCUGAUACGGCAUCUGAUCGCGUAGCAUUCAUUACAUUGCAAAUGAAUAGUAGAUUAGCAGUGAAGAGGUAAUCGAGACUUUGGUGGAACAACCAGUAUGCAGAAGCAACUAAUGAUCAUGAUAAGGUAGGACCUGGAUGACACAUGACGACUCUGCAUUCUGAUUCGUACUAGACCUGGCUCCUCCUUGUGGACAUGAAUGGCACAAUCUCCUUCAAUAUGUUCCUGGGCAUAGCUUGGGGAUAAUUUCAGCUGGUACGUGCCACAUGUCAGAGACCUCAGUUGCUCUUCAUCCAGGUUUGGAAAGUCAGUGAUAUCAUCCAUUUCCUCCCAACAAGCUGAUCGUCUUUCCAAUUUGUUUUCUUCAACAUGCUGCCGAAGGGUGUUGAUUUGCUUUGAUAAGAUUUCAUUGUGAGAUGCAUGUUUAUUUGCAAGUUAUUGGAAUUGAUUAUAAUAUACCUGUUACUGAUGGCACAAACAAUCCUAACAAAAUCUCCAAUGUACGGAACCUGGCUCGUUGGCAGGAUUUUCCCAAGUUGACAUCUGCCUGUCUCCAUGAGCCAUAAAGGAUGGCAUCUGUGCCUUGAUACCUAGUUCCUCCAAGUAAUCCAAGGAGUCUCUGAAACCACGGUCCACCACAAAUACAUCAUCCUCGCAAACCCAUCCCUGUGUUUUGGGCAGCAACGAGCUCCAGCAGGAAUUAUGACUUCUUUGGUGAUAAAGAUUCGAUGACGAAAUCCCACUGGAACCACAACUAGCUUUGGUCCUGGCCUUUUGCAGAUGCAACAUGCAGCAUGUCCUCUUGAUGUGCAAGGAAAAGGAAGAGUUACUGAUGGUGGACUGAACUGAGGUGUUAAAGUUGUAGAUGAUGUUGAUGGUGCGGAUUCACCUUGACAAUCUGUCGUGCUCGCCAUGCUAUGACCUUUGCGUUUUAUGUGACGUGCACACAUGCACCUACAUCUGUUGCAUAGGAAGUCAUCGUCACCUGGUGUUCUCCCAGAUAGUUUGGAGAUAACGACUCUGUAUUUUCUUGCAAUGCUGUAUCUGUCUUUCUGUCGUACCACGCGUGGACAAUUACAACAGUUGUAAGAUUUCUUACCAGGCAUCUGAAAUGUCAAAUAAAAUCUGUUUCAUUUUA